GACGAACGCUGGCGGCGUGCCUAAUACAUGCAAGUAGAACGCACAGUUUAUACCGUAGCUUGCUACACCAUAGACUGUGAGUUGCGAACGGGUGAGUAACGCGUAGGUAACCUGCCUGGUAGCGGGGGAUAACUAUUGGAAGCGAUAGCUAAUACCGCAUAAUAUUGAUUAUUGCAUGAUAAUUAAUUGAAAGGUGCAAUUGCACCACUACCAGAUGGACCUGCGUUGUAUUAGCUAGUAGGUGAGGUAACGGCUCACCUAGGCGACGAUACAUAGCCGACCUGAGAGGGUGAUCGGCCACACUGGGACUGAGACACGGCCCAGACUCCUACGGGAGGCAGCAGUAGGGAAUCUUCGGCAAUGGACGAAAGUCUGACCGAGCAACGCCGCGUGAGUGAAGAAGGUUUUCGGAUCGUAAAGCUCUGUUGUAAGAGAAGAACGGGUGUGAGAGUGGAAAGUUCACACUGUGACGGUAUCUUACCAGAAAGGGACGGCUAACUACGUG
rnacentral:rRNA from 1 species